UUAAUACUAAAUUUUGAUAUCCAUAUUCACAUCUUAUCGAAUUCAGUGUCGAAUUCGGUCAAAGUUAAUCCUAACCACUUUCACACCUAUAUUUUCUACCAUCAUCUAACAUCAACAAAUACAAUGUCGAUAAUACAUUUAAAAUAGAGUUAAUUGCAUACAGCUCCCUAUAAAUAUAGUGAAUUAUAACCCAUAAAGUCAACUUUCUUAUAUUGUCCCUAUAAAAGUCUAGUGAUAUUUAUAUUUGUCUCUCUAAUUUAUUACCGUUAGAGCAGAUAAGUGAAAUGUUAAUUUUGCCGUCACAAAUAUGUCCCUUCAAAACCCCAACUGCUAUAAUCUUGCAAAAAUGUCAUCUCAAAAAAUUUUUAAUACUCAUCUUCUUUCUCUUUAAAACCCAACUCAAUCCACCAGUCUCUUCGCUCACUUUUUUUCUUCAAAUCUUUUCUUUUGACCAAAAUAAAAAAAAAUUAUAGAGGAAAUUGAAUGGAGAAACAAUAUGCGUUCAAUAUUAGAAAAGCAACACGUGUAGUAGAUGAAUGGAGAUGAAGAAAUUCUAGUAACGUGUUCGAAAUUAGCAUAAAGGAGAGAGAGAGAGAGAGAGGAAGAGGAAGGGAAAAAAGAGUUUCCAUUGUUAGAGUUUUAAUUGAGAGAAGAAGGUAAAAGUGUCAAUUUAUUUCAUUGACUAAGCAUGAUUGAAUAUCUUACCUAUGAUUAACUAAAUUUUUCUAACGGAUCCUAAUAACAGAAAUAUAUUUGAAAAUAUUCAGGCUUUUGUAGUGAUACCACAAAAAAAUUAAAUUUUAUAUAAAUAUAUUUAUAAUUUCCUAUUCAUCUAUUUUACNCGGUAAUACAUUUAAAAUAGGGUUAAUUGCAUACAGCUCCCUAUAAACAUAGUGAAUUAUAACCCAUAAAGUCAACUUUCUUAUAUUGUCCCUAUAAAAGUCUAAUGAUAUUUAUAUUUGUCUCUCUAAUUUAUUACCGUUAGAGAACUGUUUGUUUUUUAAGAGCAAAUAAGUGAAAUGUUAAUUUUGUCGUCACAAAUAUGUUCCUUCAAAACCCCAACUGCUAUAAUCUUGCAAAAAUGUCAUCUCAAAAAAUUUUUAAUACUCAUCUUCUUUCUCUUUAAAACCCAACUCAAUCCACCAGUCUCUUCGCUCACUUUUUUUCUUCAAAUCCUUUCUUUUGACCAAAAUGAGAAAAAAUUAUAGAGGAAAUUGAAUGGAGAAAUAAUACGCGUUCAAUAUUGGAAAAGCAACACGUGUAGUAGAUGAAUGGAGAUGAAGAAAUUCUAGUAACUUGUUCGAAAUUAGCAUAAAGGAGAGAGAGAGGAAGAGGUAGGGAAAAAAGAGUUUCCAUUGUUAGAGUUUUAAUUAAGAGAAGAAGGUAAAAGUGUCAAUUUAUUUCAUUGACUAAGCAGGAUUGAAUAUCUUACCUAUGAUUAACUAAAUUUUUCUAACGGAUCCUAACAGCAGAAAUAUAUUUGAAAAUAUUCAGGCUUUUGUAGUGAUACCACAAAAAAAUUAAAUUUUAUAUAAAUAUAUUUAUAAUUUCCUAUUCAUCUAUUUUACAUUAAAAAAAGAAUACUGUAGGAUAUUGUAAAUAUUUUCUAAUAAAAUAUAGCAUAUUAAUUUAUAAAUAUAAUUUUUAUUGUAAAAUUUUAGAUAUAUAUAAUGUACAAAUUUAUAUCGAUUUGAGAUAAAUUAUAAUAAUUGUUACAUGCAUUUGUACGUAUAAUCAACUAGUAUCUAUAAAAAAUUAUAUGCAACUAAGCCUUU
rnacentral:lncRNA from 1 species